rnacentral:rRNA from 1 species
GAUGAACGCUAGCGACAGGCUUAACACAUGCAAGUCGAGGGGCAUCGGGGCGUAGCAAUACGCUGCCGGCGACCGGCGGAUGGGUGAGUAACGCGUAUGCAACCUACCUUCAGCAGGGGGAUAGCCCGUUGAAAGACGGAUUAAUACCCCAUAACACAGGGGCUCCGCAUGGAGAUUAUUGUUAAAGGGAUGCUUCCUUCGGGGAGUAUUCCGGCUGCAGAUGGGCAUGCGUUCCAUUAGGUAGUUGGUUGAGGUAACGGCUCACCAAGCCUACGAUGGAUAGGGGAACUGAGAGGUUGGUCCCCCACACUGGUACUGAGACACGGACCAGACUCCUACGGGAGGCAGCAGUGAGGAAUCUUGGUCAAUGGACGGAAGUCUGAACCAGCCAUGUCGCGUGAAGGAGGACGGCCCUAAGGGUUGUAAAACUUCUUUCGUGACGGGAAGGGGUAAAUAAAGUUACUUACCAACGGAGUAGUAGGGAAUUAGUUCGACAACGGUACGCGUCGACGAAAGUAAGGAGUCGGACUAACCGUCCGGUCG